GUACAUGAACUUGCAGGUCGUCCAGGUCUCUUCGUCUAUCCCCGAGCGCCGGCCCUAUCCCUAUCCCUGAGCUCCUCUGUUGGUCGAGGCUGCGCCGCCACCGUCCUCAAUCCCGGCGGCGAGCUUCCGCGCCCUCUGAUACCCAUCUACUCUUCUUCUGCAGGCCCCCAUGGUGGGUCUCUUCUUUACUUUAUUUUUUAAUGUCGUCUCCUGCAGCGUUCUGCCUUGGCGACUGCGGCAGCCGCACGCGCUGCUGGCUUCCAUCGCCGAUUGUGUUCCUCUUGCGUCCGCCUCCAUGCGCUUGCAGCUGGUGGCUGUGGUAACGGGACUGACGGCGAAGGAGAUUCGACAGAGCCGAUCGUGACGAGCACCUCAUCCUCCUUUUACUCCGCAGGAUCAGCGUCCCCUUUUCUUUUGUGUCAGACCAACAGGGUACGCGAACAACGUCUCCCUGCCAACAGGCCAUAGAAAUUAGAUUCGAUCUGCAACAUCUGAUUCUAUGGUUGAUUUCCCUUGAUUUAUAGGUAAUUUUAGCUGGCUUCAUAAUCUGCAGGUAGGAUGACGUACGUUGUUGAUUUGUUGUACUGAUGCGUGAUCGGGCAUCUCGGGAGGAUGUAAGUGGAACAUUAGGUAGGUGUAUUGUUUUGUAUGACAGAUUCCUUGACUUGCAAGUUGCAACAAUGGAAUUCAUGUAUUAUGCAUAGUUUUUCUGAAAGCUAUUAUGCAUAGUUGUAUAUUUGCAUUAGCUUUAUUGGUUAUAUAUGAAUUUACUAACAGAUUAUGUCCACCAUUUUCAUUGUUAAAUUGUACCCUGAAUAACCUUUGAUACUUUAGCAAGUUCAAUGUGAUUAUAAAUUCAGUGUGGUGCUACUUUUUGUUGACUAUUUGAUCAAAUGCUCAUGUACUUUAAAGAUUUACCUUACAUCUGCAUUUUUGUUCUGGUGCAUUGCAUGUUUUAGUAAACUGAAAUUCCUGAUAUGCUUGACAGCUAGGCCAUGGACAACACAUUGCAGAGGCCAUUAAUAUGUAGCAAAGCCAUUUUAUGAGGUCGUCGUUGACAACAAUGUUAUGCUCAACUUUGAGAGCCAAUCUUCUUUUAUCCGUAUUCAACUCUUGUUGGUAACAUAUUCAUCUCUUGUUAGGCACGCUUAUACGCUGAUGUUACAUUUUUGCCCCAUUUUGAUGUUUGUGCAUCGGAGAGCUUCCUUGAUGCUGGCAUCAGCUUGGAAGUUGUUGCUUUUCAGAAAACUCUGGGAACCAUAUAUCCUUCACAAGGCACACAAUUAUUCAGAAGAAUAGUAACUGUUAGUCGUGCUUAGAUGCUUCACAUUCCAUUCUUUUACUGCCCCCAAACGUACCAUAACAAACAAUCAUCUUCGUAUUUGAGGCAUUGCAGUUUUGGAUACUCAUAUUUCUUACAUAUAUUUGUACCAUCUAAAUUUAUGGCAGAUAUUUCUCCUAUUUUUUAUUAAAAUGGAAGAGCG
rnacentral:lncRNA from 1 species